rnacentral:misc_RNA from 1 species
GUGAAGAAUCAGAACCGAAUCAAAGUAUCAAAAUAAUUUCAGUUCGUAAAGAUUCUUUGGUUCAGUUCGAGACUCCCGAGAAUCGUGGACAGCCCUAGUUAAGAACAUCAAGUUACCAUUAACCACAAAACCUUGUUCACUUUACUUUUGAUCUAUCUGGUUAUUUUGUCUCAGUUAUGGGAUGUGUUAUUAAUUUUUUACAUGCUUGUUUGCAUGAAAGUCAUUUCAUCAAAAAAUUGGUUUGAGGUCUAAUAAUAUUGGAAAACCUUCAAACUGACGUGUAGGGUGUUUUAGGAGCUCAUCGCUUAUCUACCACUCAAGGUCUAGUUAGUCGAGAUAAUAAUGAACUCUAUCAUUGAUAGGGGUGAGCAUUAUUCGGUUCA